AUUGAACGCUAGCGGCCUGCCUAACACAUGCAAGUCGAACGAGUGGCGGCCGGGUGAGUAAUGUCUGGUAAACUGCCCGAUGGAGGGGGAUAACUACUGGAAACAGUAGCUAAUACCGCAUACCAUCGGAUGUGCCCAGAUGGGCUUGGCUAGUAGGAUGGGUAAUGGCUAACCUAGGCCACGAUCCCUAGCUGGUGUGAGAGGAUGACCAGCCACACUGGAACUGAGACACGGCCCAGACUCCUGCGGGAGGCAGAGGUGGGGAAUAUUGGACAAUGGGCGAAAGCCUGAUGAAGCCAUGCCGCGUGUAUGAAGAAGGCCUUCGGGUUGUAAAGUACUUUCAGCGAGGAGGCGUUACUCGCAGAAGAAGCACCGGCUAACUCCGUGCCAGCAGCCGCGGUAAUAC
rnacentral:rRNA from 1 species